AAAGUCGAUCUAUUACGACCAGCGCGGUUGUUCGUAUUUCAUUUUCUUCUUCUAAGCCUUACAUGCACUAAGUUACUGACACUUACGGAAUAUCAAAUCUUACACUGUGCACUGACUAUAGUCAACUUCUAUUCGCAUUGACCGUAGAAAGUUCCUUCCUAUCCUAUUGCACUGACCAAAGUAGGUCGAGUUGACCUUCCAAUGCAUUCUUUUCGAUCUUGUAUUAAGUAUACU
rnacentral:lncRNA from 1 species